rnacentral:tRNA from 1 species
CAACGUAUGGUUUAGUGGUCAGAGUGCUUGAGCGGGUUCCAAGAGGCGCGGGUUCAGAUUCCGCUAUGUUCA